UUCCACAAACAUGAAUCCUGGGAAUUUAGAGUGUUCACGGAUAGAGGGAUAAAAGGAGAGAGCGGAGCGAGGAGGAUUAGUGUGGAUUCACGGAAUCACGGAUAUAGAGUGAACUUGUUGGCGAUUGUGAUUCUCUGUCUCUCCAAAUGCAUCACACGCCACCUGGUGGCCAUGGCAGCAUCUGAUCUUCUGGUCGGCAUCACCGAUCCGUUUCUCAAAUUAUCAUCUACAGAGGCAAUUAGUGCAGACUGGGAAAAGAACUACUGAUAAAAAUUCCGAAAGAAACAUGGGAAAAAUACCUGAUAUAC